rnacentral:rRNA from 1 species
UACGUAGGAUGCAAGCGUUGUCCGGAAUUAUUGGGCGUAAAGCGAACGUAGGCGGCCUGGUAAGUUUGGUCUUAAAGACCGGGGCUCAACCCCGGGAAUGGACCGAAUACUGUCAGGCUGGAGUACGCUAGAGGAUGGUGGAAUUCCAAGUGUAGCGGUGAAAUGCGUAGAUAUUUGGAGGAACACCGGUGGCGAAAGCGACCAUCUGGGGCGUUACUGACGCUGAGGUUCGAAAGCUCGGGGAGCAAACAGG